UGCAUGGUGGUGUAGAUGGUAUCACUGCUGCCUUGCACCGAGAAGGUUCCUGGGUUUAAAUCCCGGCCUGCGUAG